rnacentral:rRNA from 1 species
GACGAACGCUGGCGGCGUGCUUAACACAUGCAAGUCGAACGGAAAGGCCCUGCUUAUGUGGGGUGCUCGAGUGGCGAACGGGUGAGUAACACGUGAGUAACCUGCCCUUGACUUUGGGAUAACUUCAGGAAACUGGGGCUAAUACCGGAUAGGAGCUCCUGCUGCAUGGUGGGGGUUGGAAAGUUUCGGCGGUUGGGGAUGGACUCGCGGCUUAUCAGCUUGUUGGUGGGGUAGUGGCUUACCAAGGCUUUGACGGGUAGCCGGCCUGAGAGGGUGACCGGCCACAUUGGGACUGAGAUACGGCCCAGACUCCUACGGGAGGCAGCAGUGGGGAAUAUUGCACAAUGGGCGGAAGCCUAAUGCAGCAACGCCGCGUGCGGGAUGACGGCAUUCGGGUUGUAAACCGCUUUCGCCUGUGACGAAGCGUGAGUGACGGUAAUGGGUAAAGAAGCACCGGCUAACUACGUG